CCUGGUGACCAUAGCGGAGGGGAACCACCCGUUCCCAUUCCGAACACGGAAGUUAAGCCCUCCAGCGCCGAUGGUACUGCCCUUUGAAGGGCGGGAGAGUAGGUCAUCGCCAGGC
rnacentral:rRNA from 1 species